rnacentral:rRNA from 1 species
GUAAGAAUAAGGAUCGGCUAACUCCGUGCCAGCAGCCGCGGUAAUACGGAGGAUCCAAGCGUUAUCCGGAAUCAUUGGGUUUAAAGGGUCCGUAGGCGGUUUAAUAAGUCAGUGGUGAAAGCCCAUCGCUCAACGGUGGAACGGCCAUUGAUACUGUUAAACUUGAAUUAUUAGGAAGUAACUAGAAUAUGUAGUGUAGCGGUGAAAUGCUUAGAGAUUACAUGGAAUACCAAUUGCGAAGGCAGGUUACUACUAAUGGAUUGACGCUGAUGGACGAAAGCGUGGGUAGCGAACAGGAUUAGAUACCCGUGUAGUCC